rnacentral:rRNA from 1 species
GACGAACGAGGGGGGAGGGAGGAACAAAGGCAAGUCGAACGGAAAGGCCCUGCUUUUGUGGGGUGCUCGAGUGGCGAACGGGUGAGUAACACGUGAGUAACCUGCCCUUGACUUUGGGAUAACUUCAGGAAACUGGGGCUAAUACCGGAUAGGAGCUCCUGCUGCAUGGUGGGGGUUGGAAAGUUUCGGCGGUUGGGGAUGGACUCGCGGCUUAUCAGCUUGUUGGUGGGGUAGUGGCUUACCAAGGCUUUGACGGGUAGCCGGCCUGAGAGGGUGACCGGCCACAUUGGGACUGAGAUACGGCCCAGACUCCUACGGGAGGCAGCAGUGGGGAAUAUUGCACAAUGGGCGGAAGCCUGAUGCAGCAACGCCGCGUGCGGGAUGACGGCCUUCGGGUUGUAAACCGCUUUCGCCUGUGACGAAGCGUGAGUGACGGUAAUGGGUAAAGAAGCACCGGCUAACUACGUG